rnacentral:rRNA from 1 species
GGACGAACGCUGGCGGCGUGCCUAAUACAUGCAAGUCGAACGGUCUUUCUAUGGAAGCUUGCUUCCACUGAGAAGAUAGUGGCGAACGGGUGAGUAACACGUGGGUAACCUGCCCAUAAGAGGGGGAUAACAUCCGGAAACGGGUGCUAAUACCGCAUAGUUUUCUUGAUCGCAUGAUUGGGAAAGGAAAGACGGCCUUUGUGCUGUCGCUUAUGGAUGGACCCGCGGCGUAUUAGUUAGUUGGUGAGGUAACGGCUCACCAAGACGAUGAUACGUAGCCGACCUGAGAGGGUGAUCGGCCACAUUGGGACUGAGACACGGCCCAAACUCCUACGGGAGGCAGCAGUAGGGAAUCUUCCGCAAUGGACGAAAGUCUGACGGAGCAACGCCGCGUGAGUGAAGAAAGGUUUUCGGAUCGUAAAACUCUGUUGUCAGAGAAGAACAAGUUGGAGAGUAACUGCUCCAGCCUUGACGGUAUCUGACCAGAAAGCCACGGCUAACUACGUGCCAGCAGCGGC